AUGAACGCUAGCUACAGGCUUAACACAUGCAAGUCGAGGGGCAGCAUGGUCUUAGCUUGCUAAGGCUGAUGGCGACCGGCGCACGGGUGAGUAACACGUAUCCAACCUGCCGUCUACUCUUGGCCAGCCUUCUGAAAGGAAGAUUAAUCCAGGAUGGCAUCAUGAGUUCACAUGUCCGCAUGAUUAAAGGUAUUUUCCGGUAGACGAUGGGGAUGCGUUCCAUUAGAUAGUAGGCGGGGUAACGGCCCACCUAGUCAACGAUGGAUAGGGGUUCUGAGAGGAAGGUCCCCCACAUUGGAACUGAGACACGGUCCAAACUCCUACGGGAGGCAGCAGUGAGGAAUAUUGGUCAAUGGGCGAUGGCCUGAACCAGCCAAGUAGCGUGAAGGAUGACUGCCCUAUGGGUUGUAAACUUCUUUUAUAAAGGAAUAAAGUCGGGUAUGCAUACCCGUUUGCAUGUACUUUAUGAAUAAGGAUCGGCUAACUCCGUGCCAGCAGCCGCGGUAAUACGGAGGAUCCGAGCGUUAUCCGGAUUUAUUGGGUUUAAAGGGAGCGUAGAUGGAUGUUUAAGUCAGUUGUGAAAGUUUGCGGCUCAACCGUAAAAUUGCAGUUGAUACUGGAUGUCUUGAGUGCAGUUGAGGCAGGCGGAAUUCGUGGUGUAGCGGUGAAAUGCUUAGAUAUCACGAAGAACUCCGAUUGCGAAGGCAGCCUGCUAAGCUGCAACUGACAUUGAGGCUCGAAAGUGUGGGUAUCAAACAGGAUUAGAUACCCUGGUAGUCCACACGGUAAACGAUGAAUACUCGCUGUUUGCGAUAUACGGCAAGCGGCCAAGCGAAAGCGUUAAGUAUUCCACCUGGGGAGUACGCCGGCAACGGUGAAACUCAAAGGAAUUGACGGGGGCCCGCACAAGCGGUGGAGUAUGUGGUUUAAUUCGAAGCAACGCGAAGAACCUUACCAGGUCUUGACAUCCAACUAACGAAGUAGAGAUACAUUAGGUGCCCUUCGGGGAAAGUUGAGACAGGUGGUGCAUGGUUGUCGUCAGCUCGUGCCGUGAGGUGUCGGCUUAAGUGCCAUAACGAGCGCAACCCUUGUUGUCAGUUACUAACAGGUGAUGCUGAGGACUCUGACAAGACUGCCAUCGUAAGAUGUGAGGAAGGUGGGGAUGACGUCAAAUCAGCACGGCCCUUACGUCCGGGGCUACACACGUGUUACAAUGGGGGGUACAGAGGGCCGCUACCACGCGAGUGGAUGCCAAUCCCUAAAACCCCUCUCAGUUCGGACUGGAGUCUGCAACCCGACUCCACGAAGCUGGAUUCGCUAGUAAUCGCGCAUCAGCCACGGCGCGGUGAAUACGUUCCCGGGCCUUGUACACACCGCCCGUCAAGCCAUGGGAGCCGGGGGUACCUGAAGUGCGUAACCGCGAGGAUCGCCCUAGGGUAAAACUGGUGACUGGGGCU
rnacentral:rRNA from 1 species